GAGAGGGGGAAGUGAGGGCUAAGUGGGGAGCGCUCGUUAAAUGAAGAAUAAAAAGAACGACUCGGAACAGAAGAAAGGGAGAAAGAAAAGGGAAAAAAAUUCAGCCACAGUCAAGUGACACAGAAGUGUUCUCUGUGCCCUGCCCCUCACCUGCCCUUCUGUUCCGGCUCUGGAGGAGAGGCACCCCGACGGCCUGGACUCAGCUCACACCUGCCGCGGGUGCCCAGGGACCGGGCUCCACAGCAUGCAGCAAUCCCGCUCCCCGCGGAGCUUUGCUCCACCCGAGGGGCUGCCCAGCCCAGCUUCAGUCUGCGGAAAUGGAGGACCUCCUCGGCUCUGCGGAAAGUGCUGCUUUUCCUGCUCAGUCCCCUAAGGGGCGUGUCUCCGCAAGGUCCUGUGCUCAGUCCCCCUAAGGGGCGUGUCUCCGCAAGGUCCUUGUGCUCAGUCCCCUAAGGGGCGCGUCUCCGCAAGGUCCUUGUGCUCAGUCCCCUAAGGGGCGCGUCUCCGCAAGGUCCUUGUGCUCAGUCCCCUAAGGGGUGUCUCAGCAAGGUCCUUGUGCUCAGUCCCCUAAGGCGCGUCUCCGCAAGGUUCUUCUGUUCCGCUCCGCUGCACAGGUGAACAAAGAUCUUCACCCAGGGGCCCGGCUGCCCCUGCCAGGGCGGGAAAGCAGAGCCCAGGACUGGACAGGCAGACGGGCUUAGCUGGGGCUCUUAGGGGCGGAGCUUCUCCAGGGAGAAGAGUCCUGCUCAGGGAUUGGUUGGUGUCCUUGUCAGGGCAGAGAUGGCUCUGGGGUCAGGGUGGGUUUCUCUCACUGGCCCCUUUUCCCUGCACCUUCCCUCCUCACCAGAGGCUCCACGAGGGGGCGCAGUUUCUCCAGGGUGAUGGUGUACUUCUACCCCAUGAUGUCAGCAGCCGCGUUCCAUGUCAGAGGCUUCCUCCUGGCACCAAGGGUCAGGACUGAAACCGUCCAGCCAGUGGGUGGAGAACUAGAUUGAUUGCCGCUGUGCCUGUCAAUCAAUGUCCUGAAGACAGGCCCACACAUGCAACUUCCCGUCCCUCAGUGUGACGUCAGCCUCCAGCCUGCCAUCUUCAUGUUCACUGGCUGACAUCUGAUCGCUUCCACUGACAAGACCAGAAACUUGGCCUGUCCAUCGUCGCCCUGAAGACGGGACAAAGUCCGAACGCACUGGACAGGUCUACCCUUCACACCAGUCUAGCCUCGGCUCCGUCCUGAUGACAUCCCCCUGGAGGCGCCCAGUCUCACCAUCAGUCAGUCAACAAACACUGACCUCCAUCUCACCCUCCUGGAGGGCUGCGCAAGCCUCUGGUGUGGUGCGUGAUGGUCAGAAUCAUGCAGGGCAGGGCUGACCUGAGCACGCCAGAGGCAAAGCCCACAUCAUGGCUGACCCCUGACCCCUGGACCCAGAGGCCUCCCUAGAAGAUCUGACCUGGCGAGGGGGGGAUUCUGGGAGGAGGCAAGACUCACUGGUCCUACAUGGCCCGCCAAGCUCUGUUGGUCCAUCCGUCUGUCUGUCCCAGGUUCCAACAGGCCUGGUGCCCCACAGUCCAUCACAUUGGCCCAGACCAGAAGUCCAGAGCCACUUGUCAAUCACCUGCUGCCCAUGGCUUCAGCUUCCCCUUUCUGCUGUCAAUCAAUCCCCUAGCCAGCCAGACUGAGUGGGUCACAUGACCCUCAGGGACCCUUCCUGGGAUGCCCCUGGGUGUCCAGCUUGCCAAGCCUGUGAGACCUGAGUCAUCCCCCUGUCUCGCUUGGAAUCAUGUGACUGAGAGUAUGAUGUCACAAACACACCCACACCCGGGUGACAGGAUGACCUCACAGUCAUGCCCCCCAGGUGAUGUCCUGGACACACCCACCCCAUGUGACUGACACGGUGACAUCACAAAAGAUACCCUCAUGUUGCUCACAGGACAUCCUGGUCAGCCCCUCCCACCCCAGCUGUGACGUUUCCUGAUACUGCCCCUCACAGGCGCAAGGCCAGACACAUGACAGUGACGUCAUGCUGAUGUUAUUUUCUGAUUUAAUAAAAAAAACAAACAAACAAAAAAAACAAGAAAGAAAAACAGCUUUAGAUUUGAAACUACUUCCGGGUGUGGUGGAGCUGCCCACGUGCUCCUGCAGUGUGGGCAGAACUUCCUGUUGACGUCACAGCCUAGUUGGCCUCCUCGGUCUGCAACAGUAAG